rnacentral:rRNA from 1 species
GACAGAGGGUGCAAACGUUGUUCGGAAUUACUGGGCGUAAAGGGUCUGUAGGUGGCCAACUAAGUCAGACGUGAAAUCCCUCAGCUUAACUGGGGAACUGCGUCUGAUACUGGAUGGCUCGAGUGUGGGAGAGGAAUGCGGAAUUCCAGGUGUAGCGGUGAAAUGCGUAGAUAUCUGGAGGAACACCGGUGGCGAAGGCGGCAUUCUGGACCACAACUGACACUGAGAGACGAAAGCCAGGGGAGCAAACGGG